GACGUAGGGGGCCAGCGUUGUUCGGAAUUACUGGGUGUAAAGGGUUCGUAGGCGGUGUGGCAAGUCGGGAGUGAAAUCUCUGGGCUCAACCCAGAGUCUGCUUCCGAAACUGCUGUGCUUGAGUGUGGGAGAGGCGCGUGGAAUUGCAGGUGUAGCGGUGAAAUGCGCAGAUAUCGGGAAGAACACCCGUGGCGAAGGCGGUUCUCUGGGACGGUACUGACGCUGAGACGCGAAAGCGUGGGGAGCGAACAGG
rnacentral:rRNA from 1 species